GAGCGCAUAAGGGAGGGAAAAGAACAGGCAGUGAAGAGAGGUGGAAAAUGUACCUGUAACCUUACCGUCGUGAAAAGGAACCCAAAAGGAAACAAUGCAACAAAACAAAGUUUGCUUAAGUUUUGUCCCUGAAACUCGUCCCUGUUUUGGAUCUUGAGUGAAAUGAUUCCAUUGUUGGAGAGAUGGUUCAUUCGGUGUGGUGUAUAUGGCUGCCCACGCUGUAGCCUUACUGAGUGAGUGAGGCGUGAUCAGGUAACCCUGCCCUCUGCGUUGGAAUGGGACUCCACUGUGAAAUGAACCUGAUAGGUAAACCAGCCUGGCCCUUAAUCAAUAGUUGGCGUCUUUGUGGAGAAGAAUGUCGGUGAAAUCCAAAACCUCACUUAAGGACCUUAUCAACACCACUAAUUGGCCCUCCAGACUACUGGAGAGUAAAGCUUAGUGGCAUGAUUCGUCGCUUUUCAGCUAUUUCUCUUUGGUUGUUUCAUUGUUUUAUUUCAAUAUUUAAUAUAUUGUUCAGUUCCCUCUGCUAUUUUACUAAAUGAAAUUAUAUAUUUACUAUUCUACUAUCUUAUCAUGGUUCAUUAAUUCAGUUGAGAACUAUCACUUUUCAUAGUUUACUUACUUUCUCUUUCGGUUUGAGUAUUUCCAAUGAAUGAGUGAAAUUUGUUAAGCAAAAAAGGUUUCUAGCCUCCCUCAUGCAUGGCACCUUAAUUAAGUCAUCUAUUUGUCAUUUUGGCUUGAUUUAAGUAUCACAAAUAUAAUUUUGUAUUUCCACCUCACAUUACUUUUUUUUAUUUCUUCGCUUCAAUAUUUAAUAUAUUUCCAUGAUUUGUCUGAAAAUGCUUUCCUUCUUAACUUGUCCUUGAAAAGGUAAAAAAUCCCCCUAAAAUCCUGUCAAUGUUUCACAUAUUUUUAUAGCAGCUAUUACCAUUGAUUUAUCUAGGUACAAAGAAACAGCAUUCCACCAACAUCAACCAUAAUGUUAAUGGUUUAAAACAGUUAUGGCAAAAGCUGCUUAGUCACAGUCAUACCUAUUUAAACUGCCUGUUCUUCAGUUCACAAACUCAAUGUUUUUUUCCCUGACUUCUCACUUUAUUCCGUGAUUGGCAUUACAGUUAACAUAGUUAGCUUGUUCUUAGUUUCACAUGUCUGUUUUCUAAGCUGUAAAAAAAACA